UGUUAGUAGAGAUGACACUUCUGGAUUAGAUGAAAGAAUGAGUCAUCAUUAUGUAAUUUACUACCGGAUACCACUUGGUUUCUUUCUAUCCAAUCUAUUAGGAAAGAGGUUCACAACACAGGUGUUGGCAGCAUAGGCCAAAAUGAGUUUAGCUUUUGACAUCUGUCUCUCUGAGCCAGCCUCUGACAGAAUGUCCGGGAGUCACUCAGCAGAGAGGCUGCACAGAGCUGGGUCCCGCACACUGGUGCUUCUGCAGUUCAAGGAGCUCAGGGUUUUGCAGCGCUGAAGUGCACGGAGCAAAGGAGCAGAUCCUUCACCUGGAGGCAGGAAGUGGCUGAUCUCCCGGGCAGGUCCUGGCCGUUGUGUCCAGACUAGAGACCUCGUUGCUCCUCCUAGCCUUGUUUCCGGUCGCGUGGGCUGAGGCCGCCUUCUCAGGUGGACAGCAGAGACGGUCUAGCCCUGCAGAUGAGCUGCGUUGCUGACAGACCACAGUGCUACUUUCACUUUCCCCUCGAGGGCUUCUGUAGCCUUCGAGCAGAAAGAGAGAUCAAGCUGAUACCAGGGUGCAGGGAACGCCUGUCCGGGAUCUCCGGUGAAACGUCAGAGAUGGCCCAGCCUCUGUUGUCAGCGUUGUAA
rnacentral:lncRNA from 1 species